rnacentral:misc_RNA from 1 species
CCGAGCGAGGGCCUCUGGCCCGACCUCCAACCCUUUGUUAUCACAACCACUGUUGCCUCGGGGGCGACCCUCGCCUGUCGGCGUCGGAGCCCCCGACGGACCAUUCCAAAACUCUGCAUCUUUGCGUCGGAUUUAAAAGUUUAAUUGAUUA